AUUGAACGCUGGCGGCAGGCUUAACACAUGCAAGUCGAACGAGUGGCGGACGGGUGAGUAAUGCUUGGGAAUCUAGCUUAUGGAGGGGGAUAACUACGGGAAACUGUAGCUAAUACCGCGUACCAUAGGAUGAGCCCAAGUGGGAUUAGGUAGUUGGUGAGGUAAAGGCUCACCAAGCCGACGAUCUCUAGCUGGUCUGAGAGGAGGAUCAGCGUCACUGGGACUGAUAAACGGCCCAGACGCCUACGGAUGGCAGCAGUGUGUAAUAUUGCACAAUGGGCGAAAACCGGAUGCAGGCAUGCCACGUGUAUGAGGAGGGCGUUCGGGUUGUAAAGUACGUUCAGUCGGGAGGCGUUACCGACAGAAGAAGCACCGGCUAACUCCGUGCCAGCAGCCGCGGUAAUAC
rnacentral:rRNA from 1 species